GUUGGCUAAUAACAGACCUAGAUUAUAUGAAGUGAAUCUAUGUGCAGUUGAUUUUGACAUAUGUUUCCUAAAAAGUGGCAAUUAAAGAACAAAUUUUCCUUAACUCAGAGCAAUUAAACAUGUUUUCCAAUGAACAGACUAUAUAUAACUGAAAUCCAGAUGAAACUUGUUUUGUUGCAGAAGUUGCCUAGCAGAAAAAUAGAAAUAGGAACCUAGAAGGCAAGAAUUUUCAAAUAUUGAAGACCAUAGGGUGGUUGGGCCAAAAAUUGAGUCGGUCAAUAUGGCUAAGUCAAUAUAUGAGGAAUAGGUCAUCAAUUUUACUAAAUAGAAAAGAAGAAGAGUAAUGAUCAAACGGGCAAUCGAGCACCAGAUUCAGUAGACCUCAUUCUGGGGUUGGGACCUAGGCAGGGCUAGAAUUUUCAAAUAUUGAAGACCAUAGGGUGGUUGGGCCAAAAAUUGAGUCGGUCAAUAUGGCAAAGUCAAUAUAUGAGGAAUAGGUCAUCAAUUUUACAAAAUAGAAAAGAAGAA
rnacentral:lncRNA from 1 species